CUUCGGCUGGCCCUCCUGCUCUCUGCAAUUCGGCGACCUGUCCGAGAGAUCUUCCGUUCUGUCUAUAGAUUGGAUAGGAAGGAACCCCAAUUCUGAUAAUAUUGAGAAGUUUCUUCUCAAAAGAAAAGCGCCAUCACAAGAUGUUUUGGAAAACAUAAUUUGGGGAGAGAGGAUUCAAUAUGAUCCGGGCAAGAGAAAAUUGAAAGAAUGAAUGAAAAAGGCCAGCAAUGCUCAAGUUGUUGAAUAUUUCGUCGCUCGGAGGUGUAGGAUGUACUAAAGGUUACUGAACCUUGUUGUCCAAUGAUGUAUUCUGGAAUUUGGAAAUGCAAGACAUCCAUUUUCAGGUAAUUUUGUCUCUCAUUUUAUCAUUAUAGUGAGCAUUUUGAUUGCUACAUAUUUUUUUACACAUCGCCUUCUAUUAUGUCCUAUAAUAUGUGCUAGAAGUUGUUAAACAAACCUUUAUUCAAUAGAAAGUUGUUUGAAAAUUUUACGCCUUAUUAAAGCGGUGCAUCGGGUAACAUUU